rnacentral:sRNA from 1 species
UAUUCUGCCCCACGGGGAAGGAUGAGAAGCUUCGACUAAGGUUCGACUCGAGCGAAGCGAGAGAACGUUGCCGCAGGCAACGGCCCGAAGGGCGAGGCGCUUUAGCGCCGAGUAAUCCU